UACGAGAGCUCCAAGCGUUAUCCGGAAUUAUUGGGCGUAAAGGGUGCGCAGUCGGUUUUGUUAGUCUUUUGUUAAAUCUCCGGGCUUAACCUGGAAACCGCAAAGGAAACGGCAAAACUAGAGAGUGUGAGGGGUGUACGGAACUCUACGUGUAGGGGUGAAAUCCGUUGAUAUGUAGGGGAACACCAAAAGCGAAGGCAGUACACUGGCACACAUCUGACGAUCAUGCACGAAAGCGUGGGUAGCGAAUGGG
rnacentral:rRNA from 1 species